rnacentral:lncRNA from 1 species
UUCACUUCAGCUCAGUUCAUGUGAGACAAGCUGAAACAAGUCACAAAACAGUAGCGAGAAUAAACGUGCAGAUCAUGCUACACACCCAAGAGGAAUCCAGCAAGUUGGAACUCAGUUUGCAUUGACCUAACGACCACAUAACUGACGCAAACCAAACUCUACUCUCUUUUUCAAACUUACCACUGGUCCAGCACCCAGUUACACACCAUGAACGAAGCUGCGCGGCCGGUGAUGUUCGAGGUGGGUGGCGACUGCACGCGGCGGUUUCCUGGUUGUCAUCGAGUGGUAUGAAAGCAACGGACACGCCAAGACUGUCCUGUUCUUGUUUGCCAUAUGGUCCUGACAUUGCCUGUAAACAUCAGUGGUUCCAGUAAUUGGAGAAUACUCAAAACAAAGCUAAAACCAGUGGGAACAUUAUGGACCUUACCUCUGCUACUUCAUCUUGCCAGUGCUAGCCACAAGUAACCGAGUUCAGUCAAGAAGAGCACGUCUCUCCA